GGCCCCGUGGCACAAUGGUAGCGCGUCUGACUCCAGAUCAGAAGGCUGGGUGUUCGAGUCACUCCGGGGUCA
rnacentral:tRNA from 1 species